UAAAACUUGUUGCGAGUCAAAUCAGCCCAGCCUCCACUCACCAAGAUUCUGGCGAUUCAGCACAGAACCCAACGUCUCGCGGCGGAGAAAUGGCGUCGUCGCCGCCGCAAUCUCGCCGUCCCGAACUCCGGAAGGACUCCAUAACCAAUCGCUGGGUCGUAUUCUCACCCGCCCGAUCCAAGAGACCCUUCGAUUUCAAAUCCAAGUCUCCUGCUCCUUCUUCUUCCGAUCCUCCCCAGACAUGCCCCUUCUGUAUUGGCCGCGAGCACCAGUGCGCUCCUGAGAUCUUCCGUUUUCCUCCCCAAUCCCCUCACUGGAAACUGCGCGUCAUUCAGAAUCUCUACCCUGCGCUCAGCCGCGACAAGGGUCUCGAUUCUUCGGUUUCUCCCACAUCUGAUUCUCUCUCCUGGGGUUCCCUUUUGGACGGCCAUGGAUUCCACGACGUGGUUAUUGAGUCCCCCCUCCACUCGGUUCAUCUCUCUGAUUUGACGCCGGAGGAGGUCGCUCAGGUUCUUCUUGCUUACAAGCAGCGGAUUGAGCAGCUCGCCGGCGAUGGCAGCAUCAAAUAUGUGCAGGUGUUUAAGAACCAUGGUGCGUCGGCUGGGGCAUCGAUGACACACUCCCAUAGUCAGAUGGUGGCUCUUCCAGUCAUUCCUCCCUCUGUUUCUACUCGAAUUGAUAGUAUGAAGGAGUAUUUCAAUAAGACAGCGAAAUGUAGCAUCUGCCAUGUUCCCACAAAGGACCUCUUGGUUGAUGAAUCAACCCAUUUCAUUUCAGUCGUUCCUUAUGCAGCUUUGUUUCCUUUUGAGAUUUGGAUCGUCCCCCGUGACCAUGUUUCUCAUUUCCAUCAGCUAGACCAAGAGAAGGCUGUUGAUCUUGGCGGGCUAUUGAAAGUUACACUCAAAAAGAUGUCUGUGCAGUUGGACAAACCACCAUUCAACUUCAUGAUUCACACUUCUCCAUUGCAGGCUUCAGAUUCAGAGUUGGCUUUCAGCCACUGGUUUUUGCAGAUUGUGCCUCAGCUGUCUGGAGUUGGGGGGUUUGAACUUGGAACUGGUUGCUACAUCAACCCUGUUUUUCCAGAGGAUGCCGCCAAAGUCAUGAGGGAGGUUAACAUUUCAAAUCUAGACACAGGCCCAGACAUUUCAGGAAAAACAAAGCCGAAACUCAAGCCCAAAAAGGCCAUACAAUGCACGUAAUUAAAGGAAUCAACUUCGGAAAAACUUGAAGAUUGUCGAAGACUGAACCAAGAACUGUUUCUCUCUUCAAGUACUCUCUCUGCGAACCCUCCAAAUUACUCGAAAGUAGCCCGUACAUAAGGCAAAAUCAGAACAAUCACUGAUCAGAAGUUGAAUCGUAGAAGGGAAUGGGGGAGUAAAAAAAAAGUCAAAACUACAAAGUCACUCUAAUGCGGGAAGGUUGCAGUACGAACCCCUUACACCAGUUCGACGAUCUAGUCAUGAUCUCGAACAAAAAAGUUGGAGUAGAGAUACCUGCUGGCAUGAUAUAUGCUGUAGAUUGAGAUAUUGAGCAGGACGUAUAGUCUGAAUUCAUCGAGUCCUAUGUCACAUACUUACUAGUAGACAAUUUUGUAGGAGGGGACGAGACAAACACCGACACUGACAACAACGACUACAAGCAGGCAUAGAGCAAUGGGGACAUCCUACAGAGGAAGUAAGAAGAAAGUACUAACUAGAGUCUUGUUAUGCGUCUCUUCGAGCAACCUCUAUGACCAGGUGCUGUGCUGAGAUUUCUAACACUUCAUGCUAUUUUGUAUUACGACUCUCAUUUAACACUAUAUAUAUUUAUGAAUCCAUUUUAAGAACAUUCAAGUUUCAA